rnacentral:rRNA from 1 species
GAUGAACGCUAGCGGCAGGCUUAACACAUGCAAGUCGAGGGGUAUAGUUCUUCGGAGCUAGAGACCGGCGCACGGGUGCGUAACGCGUAUGCAAUCUACCUUUUGCAGAGGGAUAGCCCAGAGAAAUUUGGAUUAAUACCUCAUGGUAUGUGAGAAUGGCAUCAUUUUCACAUUAAAGUCACAACGGCAAAAGAUGAGCAUGCGUCCCAUUAGCUAGUUGGUAAGGUAACGGCUUACCAAGGCAACGAUGGGUAGGGGUCCUGAGAGGGAGAUCCCCCACCCUGGUACUGAGACACGGCCCAGACGCCUAGGGGAGGGAGCAGUGAGGAAUAUUGGACAAGGGGCGCAAGCCUGAUCCAGCCGUGCCGCGUGCAGGAUGACGGUCCUAUGGAUUGUAAACUGCUUUUGUACAGGAAGAAACACUGGUUCGUGAACCAGCUUGACGGUACUGUAAGAAUAAGGAUCGGCUAACUCCGUGCCAGCCGCCGCUGUAAAAC